rnacentral:tRNA from 1 species
AGGCUCAGGAAUCGAAAUUCUUCUCCAAAUUUGCAGUUUGGGCCUUCUGAGCC